rnacentral:rRNA from 1 species
CCUACGGGAGGCAGCAGUGGGGAAUAUUGGACAAUGGGGGGAACCCUGAUCCAGCCAUGCCGCGUGUGUGAAGAAGGCCCUCGGGUUGUAAAGCACUUUCAGUGAGGAAGAACGCCUGGUGGUUAAUACCCAUCAGGAAAGACAUCACUCACAGAAGAAGCACCGGCUAACUCCGUGCCAGCAGCCGCGGUAAUACGGAGGGUGUGAGCGUUAAUCGGAAUUACUGGGCGUAAAGCGCGCGUAGGUGGCUUGAUAAGCCGGUUGUGAAAGCCCCGGGCUCAACCUGGGAACGGCAUCCGGAACUGUCCAGCUAGCGUGCAGGAGAGGAAGGUAGAAUUCCCGGUGUAGCGGUUAAAUGCGUAGAGAUCGGGAGGAAUACCAGUGGCGAAGGCGGCCUUCUGGACUGACACUGACACUGAGGUGCGAAAGCGUGGGUAGCAAACAGGAUUAGAUACCCGUGUAGUC